rnacentral:rRNA from 1 species
CAGCCGCCGCGGUAAUACGUAGGGUGCGAGCGUUAAUCGGAAUUACUGGGCGUAAAGCGUACGUAGGCGGCUUUGUAAGUUAGAGGUGAAAGCCUGGUGCUCAACACCAGAACUGCCUUUAAGACUGCAUCGCUUGAACGUCGGAGAGGUGAGUGGAAUUCCGAGUGUAGAGGUGAAAUUCGUAGAUAUUCGGAAGAACACCAGUGGCGAAGGCGGCUCACUGGACGACUGUUGACGCUGAGGUACGAAAGCGUGGGGAGCAAACAGGAUUAGAUACCCGGGUAGUCCCUGUCUCUUAUAA